CCUACGGGAGGCAGCAGUGAGGAAUAUUGGUCAAUGGCCGGAAGGCUGAACCAGCCAAGCCGCGUGAAGGACGAAGGUGCCAAGCAUUGUAAACUUCUUUUGUCAAGGGACAAAAUCAGGCUCGAGAGCCUGACCGAGGGUACUUGAAGAAAAAGCAUCGGCUAACUCCGUGCCAGCAGCCGCGGUAAUACGGAGGGGGCAAGCGUUAUCCGGAUUUACUGGGUGUAAAGGGAGCGUAGACGGGAGGGCAAGUCUGGAGUGAAAGGCGGGGGCUCAACCCCCGGAGUGCUCUGGAAACUGUACGGCUGGAGUACAGUUGAGGUAGGCGGAAUGCGUGGUGUAGCGGUGAAAUGCUUAGAUAUCACGAAGAACUCCGAUUGCGAAGGCAGCCUACUAAACUGCCACUGACAUUGAUGCUCGAAAGUGUGGGUAUCAAACAGGAUUAGAUACCCUUGUAGUC
rnacentral:rRNA from 1 species